UGCCUUUGUCAUUUUUGAUACUCACAGUUCAGCUCCAGAUCCAUAGAUGGAGUACUUAACUUCACCCCAUUGUCCAGAGUCCGGAUCUACUGCCUGCAAACAACAAUGGAGAAGACCAAAAACAUCAGAACGUCGGUGGGUUGUUGUUGAGGUCCACUACACGAAUGACCACUGGAGUUACACUGUGGUCCAUGGGUCUGCCCUCAGGAUCUACCUCUGUCGCCUGGACACAGAUAUAACACCUUUGAAAUGCGGGGACUGAAGUGAUGAAAGAGCAGUGUGACCUUCUGUGAAGUCCAACUGCUCUCCGGAUUUGAUACGAACGACGCCGCUGUGUCUGUCAACCGCAAACAUGGACGUCUGAGGAUUCUGUAACACAGGCGGAGGAGG